UACGGAGGGGGCUAGCGUUGUUCGGAAUUACUGGGCGUAAAGCGCACGUAGGCGGCUUUGUAAGUUAGAGGUGAAAGCCCGGGGCUCAACCCCGGAACUGCCUUUAAGACUGCAUCGCUAGAAUCCAGGAGAGGUGAGUGGAAUUCCGAGUGUAGAGGUGAAAUUCGUAGAUAUUCGGAAGAACACCAGUGGCGAAGGCGGCUCACUGGACUGGUAUUGACGCUGAGGUGCGAAAGCGUGGGGAGCAAACAGG
rnacentral:rRNA from 1 species